UGUCUUCACUUAAACUUCAUUCAUAUUUGAAUUAACCAAUAUUAGAUACAAGUUUUAAUAACAAGUUUGAAUUACAUACUCUACAAUUUCCCCUUCACUGUUCUUAUUCUUGCAUAAUGAAAAUGAAAUAUGCAACACAAUUAGAACUAUGCAACAAAAUUUGAAUGUCAUACUAAAAUGAUUACAAGUUUUCAUCCAAUAUAACAUGUACUCUAUAAAAUAUCUCACUGCAUUGUUCCUAUUCAUCCAACUAUAUUAUCAGCCUUCCAUUUUGUAUUAUGCUUGAUUCUUUUUGUUCCAACUUGUUGACACUCUACAAAUUUAUUUUCCUUCUCUUUCUUCAUCAAAUCUUGCAUCCUUUUACAAUAUUCAACUUUUUGUCCUGCCAAAAUAAACAAUAUAAUGCAUGCUAGCUGAUAUCAAAAGUUCUUAAACAUAUCAGUUCUUAAACAAUAUAAUGCAAUCCAACAAAACAAGGAUGAAUGUUCCAAUUUUUCAUAGCCAUGCAGUAAUCUACAAGAAACUUUAAUAACCAAAAAUGCAUAAUUCCAUAUCGUAUAUAUUAUUAACCAUUGCUGAAACAAGUCAAUAGCAAGGAACUCCAAUACAACCAAUAACAUCUAUAUGAUUGUGAAUUUCCAAAUCAAAAGAAGCC
rnacentral:lncRNA from 1 species